rnacentral:rRNA from 1 species
GAGGCAUCCUAGUACGGCGAGUGACCGGGAAGAGCUCAAAUUUGAAAUCUGGCGUGCUCAGUGCGUCCGAGUUGUAAUCUAUAGAGUCGUUUUCCGUGCCGGACUGUGUCCAAGUCCCUUGGAACAGGGUAUCAAAGAGGGUGAUAAUCCCGUACUUGACACAAUGACCGGUGCUCUGUGAUACGUCUUCUACGAGUCGAGUUGUUUGGGAAUGCAGCUCAAAAUGGGUGGUGAGUUCCAUCUAAAGCUAAAUAUUGGCGAGAGACCGAUAGCGAACAAGUACCGUGAGGGAAAGAUGAAAAGCACUUUGGAAAGAGAGUUAAACAGUACGUGAAAUUGUUAAAAGGGAAACGAUUGAAGUCAGUCGUGACUGAGAGGCUCAGCCGGUUCUGCCGGUGUAUUCCCCUCAGUCGGGUCAACAUCAGUUUUGUUCGGUGGAUAAGGGCAGUUGGAAGGUGGCACCCUCGGGUGUGUUAUAGCCAGCUGUCGCAUACAUCGGAUGAGACUGAGGAAUGCAGCUCGCCUUUAUGGCCGGGGUUCGCCCACGUUCGAGCUUAGGAUGUUGACAUAAUGGCUUUAAACGACCCGUCUG